AACGUAGGUUCCGAGCGUUAUCCGGAUUUACUGGGCGUAAAGCGCGUUCAGGCGGUUUGGCAAGUCGGGCAUGAAAUCUCUCGGCUCAACCGGGAGAGGUUGUCCGAUACUUCCAGACUUGAGGGCAGUAGAGGGUGGUGGAAUUCCGGGUGUAGUGGUGAAAUGCGUAGAUAUCCGGAGGAACACCAGUGGCGAAAGCGGCCACCUGGACUGCACCUGACGCUGACACGCGAAAGCUAGGAGAGCGAACGGG
rnacentral:rRNA from 1 species